rnacentral:rRNA from 1 species
UACUCGAGUGGCGAACGGGUGAGUAACCCGUGGGUGAUCUGCCCUGCACUUCGGGAUAAGCCUGGGAAACUGGGUCUAAUACCGGAUAGGAGCCAUUUUUAGUGUGAUGGUUGGAAAGUUUUUUCGGUGUAGGAUGAGCUCGCGGCCUAUCAGCUUGUUGGUGGGGUAAUGGCCUACCAAGGCGGCGACGGGUAGCCGGCCUGAGAGGGUGGACGGCCACAUUGGGACUGAGAUACGGCCCAG